UACGGGGGGGGCAAGCGUUGUCCGGAAUCACUGGGCGUAAAGGGCGCGUAGGCGGUCUCUUAAGCGUGUGGUGAAAGCCCGGAGCUCAACUCCGGGUCGGCCGUGCGAACUGGGGGACUGGAGCUUGUCAGAGGCAGGCGGAAUUCCGGGUGUAGCGGUGGAAUGCGUAGAGAUCCGGAAGAACACCGGUGGCGAAGGCGGCCUGCUGGGACAGUGCUGACGCUGAGGCGCGACAGCGUGGGGAGCAAACAGG
rnacentral:rRNA from 1 species